UACGGGGGGAGCAAGCGUUGUUCGGAUUUACUGGGCGUAAAGGGCGCGUAGGCGGCCACGACAAGUCACUUGUGAAAUCUCCGGGCUUAACUCGGAAAGGUCAAGUGAUACUGUCGGGCUAGAGUACAGAAGGGGCAACUGGAAUUCUCGGUGUAGCGGUGAAAUGCGUAGAUAUCGAGAGGAACACCAGUGGCGAAGGCGACUACCUGGCCUGUUCUUGACGCUGAGGCGCGAAAGCUAGGGGAGCAAACGGG
rnacentral:rRNA from 1 species